CCUACGGGCUGCAGCAGUGGGGAAUAUUGCACAAUGGGCGCAAGCCUGAUGCAGCCAUGCCGCGUGUAUGAAGAAGGCCUUCGGGUUGUAAAGUACUUUCAGCGGGGAGGAAGGUGUUGUGGUUAAUAACCGCAGCAAUUGACGUUACCCGCAGAAGAAGCACCGGCUAACACCGUGCCAGCAGCCGCGGUAAUACGGAGGGUGCAAGCGUUAAUCGGAAUUACUGGGCGUAAAGCGCACGCAGGCGGUCUGUCAAGUCGGAUGUGAAUCCCCGGGCUCAACCUGGGAACUGCAUUCGAAACUGGCAGGCUAGAGUCUUGUAGAGGGGGGUAGAAUUCCAGGUGUAGCGGUGAAAUGCGUAGAGAUCUGGAGGAAUACCGGUGGUGAAGGCGGCCCCCUGGACAAAGACUGACGCUCAGGUGGGAAAGCGUGGGGGGCAAACAGGAUUAGAUACCCCCGUAGUC
rnacentral:rRNA from 1 species